CUCAGAAUCAACGCUGGCGGCGUGCCUAACACAUGCAAGUCGAACGAGAAAGUGGAGCAAUCCAUGAGUACAGUGGCGUACGGGUGAGUAACACGUGACUAACCUACCCUCGAGUGGGGAAUAACCUCGGGAAACCGGGGCUAAUACCGCAUAACAUCUUCGGAUCAAAUGCGUAAGCAGCUUGAGGAGGGGGUCGCGGCCGAUUAGCUAGUUGGCGGGGUAAUGGCCCACCAAGGCAAUGAUCGGUAGCCGGCCUGAGAGGGCGCACGGCCACACUGGAACUGAAACACGGUCCAGACUCCUACGGGAGGCAGCAGUGGGGAAUUUUGCGCAAUGGGGGAAACCCUGACGCAGCAACGCCGCGUGGAGGAUGAAGCCCUUUGGGGCGUAAACUCCUUUCGACCGGGACGAUUAUGACGGUACCGGAAGAAGAAGCACCGGCUAACUCUGUGCCAGCAGCCGCGGUAAUACAGAGGGUGCAAGCGUUGUCCGGAAUCACU
rnacentral:rRNA from 1 species